GACUGAAGUUUCUACUAAUUAUUUUGUCUUAAAGAGUCUCAAUCUUUUUUUGGUUCAUUUGCAAUUUGUCCAGUUUAUCUACAUAUGGGAUCUGGAAUGGUGCCCCGUAUUUGGCAAAUUGAAGACUCUGACACUCAAUAAUUGGUUUAUGGCUAUUGACCUAGAUUGCAUUCUCCAACAUUCUCCAGUUCUUGAGAUGCUCACUCUUAGGGUCGAUAUUGUCAAGAGCUCUGUAGGAGCAACAGGAUCCAAAGAAACUGUAGAACAAUCCUUCGUGUGUGCGCGCCGUUUGGCGGUCACCAUUGAAUGUCAUGAAGUUGAUCAGGGUGUUCACGAAAUUUUGAACAUGUUGAGUGCAUGUGGCAUACUUCGUGAGCAAAUUAGCUUCAGUGACAUGUGGCCAUGGUAGAACUCCAUUUCUUCGUGAAGUGAUAGCGACUAAGGUGCGUGGUGGGUGUGAAGACUGAUAGCUUCAUCAAGUGCUGGCAAUUAAGAUGUUCGUCUGAAGACUUAGUAUCUGUAAUGGUGGCCAUUUGUUGGCCGUUAGCCUGUUACGGCGAAGUUUAGUUUGCCCCUCCCAUCUUUGUGGUUUGUUUGGCGCGACUUAGCAAGACUUUUUCCACUUUGUUGAACUGGGAAUGGUCAGGGAGAUUAAGUUAUGUUUCGAACAUUGCUACGUUUUCAUUAAUGGAAAAAAGAGUGGGUUUUCUACACCUAGCUCGGUGCACCCAUGCUAUACCCACGCAAGAAAACAUAGCAAACAUUUAAAAAACAUCGAAGACUUUGUGAGAAUGGUUAUGAACAAAUGUUAUAGA